rnacentral:tRNA from 1 species
GCCUGGGUGGCUCAGCAGUUGAGCAUCUGCCUUUGGCUCAGGGCGUGAUCCCAGUGUGGGAUCAAGUCCCACAUCGGGCU